rnacentral:rRNA from 1 species
GAUGAACGCUAGCUACAGGCUUAACACAUGCAAGUCGAGGGACCGGCGCACGGGUGAGUAACACGUAUCCAACCUGCCCCUUACUCGGGGAUAGCCUUCAGAAAGAAAGACUAAUACCCGAUAUAAAGGAUGGGGAUGCGUUUGAUUAGGUUGUGGGUGAGGUAACGGCUCACCAAGCCUUCGAUGGAUAGGGGUUCGGAGAGGAAGUUCCCCCCCGAUGGAACUGAGGCACGGUCCAAACUCGUACGGAGGGCGGGAGUAAGGUAUAUUGGUGAAUGAGCGCUGGCCUAGACCAGCCAAGUGGCGUGAAAGAUGAAGGCUUAUGAGUCUUAAACUUCUUUUAUAUAAGAAUAUGUAUUAUAUGAAUAAGGAUCGGCUAACUCCGUGCCAGCAGCCGCGGUAAUUC